rnacentral:rRNA from 1 species
AUUGAACGCUGGCGGCAGGCCUAACACAUGCAAGUAGAACGAGUGGCGGACGGGUGAGGAAUGUAUGGGAACCUGCCUGUUGGAGGGGGAUAACUACUGGAAACGGUAGCUAAUACCGCAUACCAUCAGUUGUGCCCAGAUGGGAUUAGCGUGUGGGUGGGGUAACGGCUCACCCAGGCGACGAUCCCUAGCUGGUCUGAGCGGAUGACGAGCCACACUGGAACUGAGACAGGGUCCGGACUCUUAGGGAAGGCGUCAGUGGGGAAUAUUGGACAAUUGGGGAAAUCCUGACCCACACAUGCGGCGUGUGUAAAGAAGGUCUUCGGUUUGUAAAGCACUUUAAGUGAGGAGGCGUUACCAACAGAAAAAGCACCGGCUAACUUCGUGCCAGCAGCCGCGGUAAUUC